CCGGUGUCGACUUACUAGCUGCAAGCCUCUGCCUGCCUUCCUGCGCGCCGUUCCCCGCUAGUCGCUGCUGCUGGCGCGCACUCGCCGGGUUUUUCCUCCCACGGCCUCGAGAUGGUGGUGAAUGUGGCACGGAGGAGCCGGGCCUUCCAACCCGGUGGGCCCGAGCUCCGAAAGGCCCCCUCGGCAGUGAGAGGGGCGGGAGCCCGCGGGGGCCGCGCCCUUCUCUCGCUUCGGACUGCGCAACGCUGCGCUCUGGGCUGACAGAUGAAGACUCUUAAGAUGACAGAAGGUGAUUUUUCUGGUGAUCGAGGACUUCCGGGGUAAUGACAGUGAUGAAAUGCAGGGGACCUGGUUGCCCCCAAGUUUCCUGGCAGUGUGUGAUACUGAGGAGAUUCAUGUUACAUGUAAAGCUGUCCUCAUUUGUGACUAUGGACCUAUGGAGUUGGGACAAUCUCUAUGGGAAGCAGAAGGCAAGGACCCCGGUCAUUUUAGGUAGAAACAACAGCAUGCUAAUGCAAAAAAUUAUGCAGUGUGCUACUGAACUUCAGAGGUGAUCAAUAAAAGAAGAAUAAAAAGACUAA
rnacentral:lncRNA from 1 species